rnacentral:rRNA from 1 species
UACGGAGGGUGCAAACGUUGCUCGGAAUCAUUGGGCGUAAAGCGCACGUAGGCGGAUCGCUAAGUCGGGUGUGAAAGCCCUCAGCUUAACUGAGGAAGUGCAUUCGAAACUGACGAUCUUGAGUACGGAAGAGGGUCGCGGAAUUCCCGGUGUAGAGGUGAAAUUCGUAGAUAUCGGGAGGAACACCAGUGGCGAAGGCGGCGACCUGGGCCGAUACUGACGCUGAGGUGCGAAAGCGUGGGGAGCAAACAGG